rnacentral:rRNA from 1 species
AGAGUGCGUAAUAGCUCACUAGUCGAGAGGUCCUGCGCCGAAAAUGUCCGGGGCUGAAACACGACACCGAAGCUUAGGAAUCACAUAGUGAUUGGUAGAGGAGCAUUCUUAAAACCGACGAAGCUGUACCGGAAGGAGCAGUGGAGGGAUAAGAAGAGAGAAUGCCGGAAUGAGUAGCGAGAGGAAGGUGGGAAUCCUUCCGGCCGAAUAUCUAAGGUUUCCAGAGUAAAGCUGAUCUGCUCUGGGUAAGUCGGGGCCUAAGGAGAGGUCGCAAGACGUAUCCGAUGGACAACAGGUUUAGAUUCCUGUACCGCAUAUAAACAGAACUGUGGGGACGCAUGUGGAAAGCAUAAGCCGGGAAUGGAAAUACCGGUACAAGCGGAAGAGGUGUCAGGCUGGCAAAUCCGCCUGGCAAGCCAAAGACGUGAUGUGUAGCGAAAUAAAAGUAGCGAAGUAUGUGAGCCAUGUGCCGAGAAAAGCCGCUAUUGUUUUAUAUGUGCCCGUACCGUAAACCGACACAGGUGGAUGAGGAGAGAAUCCUAAGGCCGGCGGAAGAAGCAUUGUUAAGGAACUCGGCAAAAUGACCCCGUAACUUCGGGAGAAGGGGUGCCUGCGAGAGCAGGCCGCAGAGAAUAGGCUCAAGCAACUGUUUAGCAAAAACACAGGUCUAUGCGAAACCGAAAGGUGAAGUAUAUGGGCUGACGCCUGCCCGGUGCUGGAAGGUUAAGAGGAGAGGUUAGCGCAAGCGAAGCUUUGAAUUUAAGCCCCAGUAAACGGCGGCCGUAACUAUAACGGUCCUAAGGUAGCGAAAUUCCUUGUCGGGUAAGUUCCGACCCGCACGAAAGGCGUAAUGAUUUGGGCACUGUCUCGACAAUGCACCCGGUGAAAUUGAAAUACCAGUGAAGAUGCUGGUUACCUGCGCCAGGACGGAAAGACCCCAUGGAGCUUUACUCCAGUUUGAUACUGGGAUUCGGUACUGCACGUACAGGAUAGGUGGGAGACUGAGAACUAUGGACGCCAGUCUGUAGGGAGUCGCUGUUGGGAUACCACCCCUGUAGUACUGGGUUUCUAACCAUCUGCCGUGAUCCGGCAGUGGGACAAUGUCAGGCGGGGAGUUUGACUGGGGCGGUCGCCUCCGAAAGGGUAUCGGAGGCGCUCAAAGGUUCCCUCAGAAUGGUUGGAAACCAUUCGAAGAGUGCAAAGGCAGAAGGGAGCUUGACUGCGACACCGACGGGUGGAGCAGGUACGAAAGUAGGACUUAGUGAUCCGGUGGUAUAAAGUGGGAUUGCCAUCGCUCAACGGAUAAAAGCUACCCUGGGGAUAACAGGCUUAUCACUCCCAAGAGUUCACAUCGACGGAGUGGUUUGGCACCUCGAUGUCGGCUCAUCGCAUCCUGGGGCUGUAGUAGGUCCCAAGGGUUGGGCUGUUCGCCCAUUAAAGCGGUACGCGAGCUGGGUUCAGAACGUCGUGAGACAGUUCGGUCCCUAUCCGGCGCGGGCGGAGGAUAUUUGAGAGGAGCUGUCCUUAGUACGAGAGGACCGGGAUGGACGGACCACUGGUGUAUCUGCUGUCGACCAACGGCAUGGCAGAGUAGCCAAGUCCGGAAGGGAUAAACGCUGAAGGCAUCUAAGCGUGAAGCCCCCCUCAAGAUGAGAUAUCCCAUAACAUAAGUUAGUAAGACCCCUUGAAGACGACGAGGUAGAUAGGCAGAAGGUGGAAGUGUGGUGACAUAUGGAGCUGAUCUGUACUAAUAGGUCGAGGGCUUAACCAA